UAGGGAAUCUUCCGCAAUGGGGGGAACCCUGACCGAGCAACGCCGCGUGAGUGAAGAAGGUUUUCGGAUCGUAAAGCUCUGUUGUUAAGGAAGAACGAGUGUGAGAAUGGAAAGUUCAUGCUGUGACGGUACUUAACCAGAAAGGGACGGCUAACUACGUGCCAGCAGCCGCGGUAAUACGUAGGUCCCGAGCGUUGUCCGGAUUUAUUGGGCGUAAAGCGAGCGCAGGCGGUUAGAAAAGUCUGAAGUGAAAGGCAGUGGCUCAACCAUUGUAGGCUUUGGAAACUGUUUAACUUGAGUGCAGAAGGGGAGAGUGGAAUUCCAUGUGUAACGGUGAAAUGCGUAGAUAUAUGGAGGAACACCGGUGGCGAAAGCGGCUCUCUGGUCUGUAACUGACGCUGAGGCUCGAAAGCGUGGGGAGCGAACAGG
rnacentral:rRNA from 1 species